UUCCAAGUAAGAGUGGUCAGGAAAGGCUUCACAUAUAGUUGGGUUUGAAGAUAAAGGAAGAAUUAGGAGAGAGGUUGUUUAGAAUGAGGCAUUUGAUAUGUCUGAUCAAGAUCAGCUGAUACCAUGCUUUAACAUAUAGCAAUGGUAUAGUUAAAAACAAAAGAAGAGGAGGAAGGGGAGAAGGCAGAUGUACUCAAAAGCAAGAUAAACGUCUUCAAGGAUGUAGUUGCAGGACAAUGGCUGGAAUCAGGGGCUGGCUUGCUGGGAUCUGUUCUUAGCAAACCAUUCUUGGGCCUGGGUCUUGAGGGUCUGUUCUUAGUGUAGAGGCACCAAGAGUUUGACUCCUUCAGCUAACAGAGUUUCACAGUGCUUUGCCUAUAGAGGAAGGCUGGAGCCAGGCUCUCUGCUUGAAACAGGGAUUUGGAUCUGAUUUUCUCUUGAUUGAAAGAGAGCCCACAGCCACCCAUGUAAGGCCUAGUUCUGACUGUGGGCCCUGGAAAGUCAGAGGCUACUUUAAAAAACUCAGGAAAAGAGAGAGUAAAGAGAGGAAGAGAUUUUCAAAAAUUUCUAUUCAAGAUAACCCUGCACACACACUCGAAAUUCAAAGUAUACAUAAAAAAGACUCAACAAGUGGAAUGUGAAUUCACUUCCAAAAAGAGGCAAAUUAUUGAACAAUUUGAAAAAUGUUUAAAACAAAGAGAACAACAAAUGUAGAAAAUGCAGAAAUUAAAGAAGAACAGUUGAAGAUGAUAAAUACUGAGCAUACUGGAAAUGAACACUCUACAUAUUAAACAAGGAUAUACUCUAGGUUGGACAUAGUUGAAGGGAUAAUUAAUGAAUUGGAAGCUAGCAUUGAGAAAUUCAUAGAGAAUGCAACACAGGGAGAUGAAGACAGAAGCAGUUUGAAAAAGCUGUUGAGAUGUAUAUUAGCAUGGUGAAGUGUUUAAUAGGAUUUCAGAAAGGGGAGAACAAAGGGAAUGUGGAGAAGAAAUAUGGGAAGAAAGCAUGGCUGAAAAUUUUUCACAAUUAAAGACAAACAUUCUCAGAUCAAAAAUACUCUUAGUGCCAAGUAUAAAAACAUAUACAUCUUUGCACAUAUCAAGGUGAAUUAUAAACAUCAAGAGUAAAGAGAAGAGGGCAUCCCAGGAAGCUAGGAUGUUUGAAAUAUAAUUGGGAGAAUCCUUGUUGCAGUUUGGAUUGGGCAGAGAGGGUAAGAAGCUGAACUGUAAUGGGGAAAAAUAUACACAUUUUGGUUACACCUUGCAUUGACUCUCUGUCAUCCCCUCCCUUGGUGCUGACACAUGCUUACUGUAAAACUGAUCCAAUGAUCCCAUAGAGUUGAUGUUUGUGGUUUCUUUGAAUAAACAUAUAAAUUGAUCCUUGCCUUCUUAAAACCUGAGAAAGUUACAUUUGUCUUAUCUGAGUUCCUUUCUAGGGAAACCAACUAUCAGGCCUCCCAGAUGGUAGCAAUGAGCUGAAACUCACCAGAUCACUUAUUAUGAACAAUAAGACGUCAGACUCUUCACCUGGUCUCACCGCAGAGGGGCACGCCAGCCAUGAGGACAGAUGAGGGAACACGUGAUGCCACGAUGGGGGUGCCAGGAUGAGGUUACACUGGCAUUCUCCCAAGUUUUUCAUCAAACUCAUGAAGCCUGCUGCUCCUUCAAUUCUCAAGGCGUUGGAGUGAGGCCGCCUGGGGUGAAUCGAAGCUUUCGGAUUUAUCAAAUGUGGUGUGAUUUCUAAGACGCCAUUGAGCCCUGCUAAAGGAGUUGCUAAUAUCCACCUCGUUCUGCGGUUAAGAAACCAACAGGAAAAAGAACGCACAACUCCCAGCACAGUGCUGGCGCCUGUGAGGCACUCAGCCGACGGGAGCUUUGUUCUUCGUUGUAUUGUGGCGGGGAAGCAACAUGGGGCCUUGUCCUGCGGACACACUUGAGUUAAGAUCACACUGGGGCUCCUUCAGGCCCUGGGCCAAGUUGGGGCACAGGCCGAGUUCGGUUGUUGCUGUAGCCUCAGAACCACCCAGAGUUGACUGAAGACACUCGGGGGCCUCCAUAACUGAGAGCAGGCAGAGGCAUUGUUUUUAACCCAGUGUGGACCCCCAAAUGGAACAUUUUCCUUCCCUAGGUGAACGCCUUCGGAACCCUCCGAAAAUCGCAGUUUCACUUUUAGCAAAGAGCCCCGCUGCAGCAGGGGAAAGCCCCCACAAACCCCGUCCUCUCCAAAGGGAAUGUUCCGAGCCCCCUGCUUCCUCCACCCUUCUCUUCCCCCUGGUUAAUUCCUUCGCUCCAGCUCGUUCUGCCUUCUUUCUUUCUUUGCCUUUUCGAGGCCCGCUCUUCUCUGAUUUUGAAGGGCUGGCGCAGGCUUGGGCACUUCUUUCAGGUUCUGUAUUGUAUGUCUGCCCUGUGGCUUCUCCUUUUGCAACUCCGAGCAACUCUGUGCUUGGAUUGCAGCUCCCAACAGUCCUGCCCUGACUUGCCCCAGUCACAGGGCAGAGAUGAACCAGGGACUGUACCCAGGGUUUUGAGUUCCUGCCAUAUUUAUAGCAUCAACUCUCCUUUAGCUCUUGGGAAAAAGGGUUUUAAAGUGCUGCAAUCUUCUAACACAAAAUUAUAUCAGUGCUGAAAAUGUGUUUUCCACUUAUACCCCAGCAGGAAAAAAAAAAAAGAUGAUAUCUGUUUCAGG
rnacentral:lncRNA from 1 species